UUACGACCAUACCACGUUGAAACACCGUUUCUCGUCAAAACACCGAAGUUAAGCAACGUUGUGUUUGAUCAGUACCUAGAUGAGCGACCGCUUGAGAAUACCAGGUAUUGUAAG